rnacentral:rRNA from 1 species
AGAGUUUGAUCCUGGCUCAGGACGAACGCUGGCGGCGUGCUUUAUACAUGCAAGUCGAACGAUGAAGUUCCUUCGGGAAUGGAUUAGUGGCGAACGGGUGAGGAUCACGUGAGAAACCUGCCUUUCAUUCUGGGAUAACACCGGGAAACCGGUGCUAAUACCGGAUACUCCAUCUUGGCGGCAUCGCCGAGCUGGGAAAAAAUUUUGAUGAAAGAUGGUCUCGCGGCCUAUCAGCUAGUUGGUGAGGUAAAGGCUCACCAAGGCGACGACGGGUAGCCGGCCUGAGAGGGCGACCGGCCACACUGGGACUGAGACACGGCCCAGACUCCUACGGGAGGCAGCAGUAGGGAAUAUUGGGCAAUGGGCGAAAGCCUGACCCAGCGACGCCGCGUGAGGGAUGAAGGUCUUCGGAUUGUAAACCUCUUUCAGUAGGGAAGAAGCGAAAGUGACGGUACCUAAAGAGGAAGCACCGGCUAACUAUGUGCCAGCAGCCGCGGUAAUACAUGGGGUGCAAGCGUUGUCCGGAAUUAUUGGGCGUAAAGAGCCCGUAGGUCGUUUGUCGCGUCGAUUGUGAAAAUCUGAGGCUCAACCUCAGACCUGCAGUCGAUACGGGCAAACUAGAGUGUGGUAGGGGAGACUGGAAUUCCUGGUGUAGCGGUGGAAUGCGCAGAUAUCAGGAGGAACACCAAUGGCGAAGGCAGGUCUCUGGGCCAUAACUGACACUGAGGAGCGAAAGUGCGGGGAGCGAACAGGAUUAGAUACCCUGGUAGUCCGCACCGUAAACGGUGGGCACUAGUUGUGGGAACCUUCCACGGUUUCCGCGACGCAGCAAACGCAUUAAGUGCCCCGCCUGGGGAGUACGAUCGCAAGAUUAAAACUCAAAGGAAUU